rnacentral:lncRNA from 1 species
CCCAUCAUAACAAAGUUGAAUCUUCACAAAAGCCUUACUUGAUCUUCACUUUAGGCUUUCCUUUAUGUAGUUUUAGCCCAUAGGUUUGAUUAGGCUCCCUCAGCCUAUGAUUGCAAGUGUUGCACCAAAUCUGUCCCAUAUGAAUUAAAGCACGCCCCAAAUAUAUAUGGAUUAUAUGAAUAUGAUUUUGAACUACUCUUGGAUCCAUUGGAAUGAUAUAAGUUUGCUCCACACCAUUGUUAGAAAUUUGUC